GCACUCCCGGGGCGUCUCUAUCUCAUUGCGAGAGGAGGCGCACCUUGAGCGUACACGCUGAUACCCGAAAGAUGGUGAACUAUGCCUGGCCAGGACGAAGCCAGGGGAAACCCUGGUGGAGGUCCGCAGCGAUUCUGACGUGCAAAUCGAUCGUCGGAGCUGGGUUUAGGGGCGAAAGACCAAUCGAACCAUCUAGUAGCUGGUUCCCUCUGAAGUUUCCCUCAGGAUAGCUUGCGCUCGAAUUGAAACGAGUCUCAUCCGGUAGAGCGAAUGAUUAGAGGCCUUGGGGUCGAAACGACCUCAACCUAUUCUCAAACUCCAAAUAGAUGAGAACCCCGGCUUUCUUGAACUCUUGUUUAUGAAGCCGGGGGCUUGGAUCAGAGUGCCAAGUGGGCCAAUUUUGGUAAGCAGAACUGGCGCUGUGGGAUGAACCAAACGCGGAGUUAAGGCGCCUCAAUCGACGCUCAUGUGAAACCAUGAAAGGCGUUGGUUGCUUAAGACAGCAG
rnacentral:rRNA from 1 species